AAUAUACUCCCUCCGUCCUAAAAUUCUUGUCUUAGGUUUGUCUAUUAAUGGAUGUAUCUAAAUACUAAAACGUGACUAGGUACAUUCAUACCUAGGAAAAUCUAAGACAAGAAUUUUGGAAUGGAGGGAGUAUGUA
rfam:Hordeum vulgare subsp. vulgare, WGS project CAJW01000000 data, contig: morex_contig_194972